rnacentral:rRNA from 1 species
UACGUAGGGGGCGAGCGUUGUCCGGAAUUACUGGGCGUAAAGAGCUCGUAGGUGGUUUGUCGCGUUGUUCGUGAAAACCGGGGGCUUAACCCUCGGCGUGCGGGCGAUACGGGCAGACUUGAGUACUGCAGGGGAGACUGGAAUUCCUGGUGUAGCGGUGGAAUGCGCAGAUAUCAGGAGGAACACCGGUGGCGAAGGCGGGUCUCUGGGCAGUAACUGACGCUGAGGAGCGAAAGCGUGGGGAGCGAACAGG